UUACCAACGACCAGGCCAAGUUUAUAAGGAAACGCCAACGAUAGGUGACCAGCCUGGAUGGACACAAGCUUCCACUGGCGACCAGGUCGAACUGAUGUUACAUCCCCAAAUGCUACAUCGAAAUAACGACCAGGCUGCGUUCAUAAGAAGACGACAGCGAUAGGUGACCAGCCUCUGUGGCCACAAGCUGACAUUGGCGACCAUGUUUGCCUGAUGUUACAUCUUCAAAUGCCGUGUAAUUUACAGGCUAUCUUCUCCAACAUCCGCCAAUGACACCGCUUCAUGUGCAGGAAUUGAUACCCUCUGAUACAUUCGAUGUCAUGUAUCUUAUCACUGAAAAAACAAAGCAUUUCUUCAAUCUUCAUAUAACCAGCGCGUUCCAAAGAUGCCAACUUAACAUGUUGGAUUUAUCAUUAUCUGAGCGCAAAACCUUUCCACAACGUCCAGCUUUUGACACAUCGUCCACUUACAAGUCCCUGGUGGUGUCCACGUGUACCUCCUGAUGACUCGGCAGCUCUGAGAUGUUGAGGGGUGUUUCAUGUUUCAUGGCUCACAUAUCUACCUGAAACACCCGCUAACACCUUCUAGUUGAACGAUGACUCGGUUGUAUUCACAAGCAUUUUCUAGGGUCAUUGUAUUUGGUCAACCGUCGUCAGUAAGGGGAUUGAUGUGAAAGAUUUUAAUAAGCGCAUUGAAAUGAGCGUGUUAGAUCUUGUUAUCAAAUUACAAUGGGUUAAAGCGUCACCUCAACCAAAUAUUUCGGUUAACAUUCAUGAGUUAAGGAGGCUAUUCCUAAUCAUGUGCGGUGCUGUGGAAGGAUGUUGGCAGUAUCAGUCUUCAACGAAGAUGGAUGAUUCUUGAA